rnacentral:rRNA from 1 species
GUAGGUGGCAAGCGUUGUCCGGGAAUUAUUGGGGCGUAAAGCGCGCGCAGGCGGUUCUUUAAGUCUGAUGUGAAAGCCCACGGGCUCAACCGUGGAGGGUCAUUGGAAACUGGAGAACUUGAGUACAGAAGAGGAAAGCGGAAUUCCACGUGUAGCGGUGAAAUGCGUAGAGAUGUGGAGGAACACCAGUGGCGAAGGCGGCUUUCUGGUCUGUAACUGACGCUGAGGCGCGAAAGCGUGGGGAGCAAACAGGAUUAGAUACCCUGGUAGUCCACGCCGUAAACGAUGAGUGCUAAGUGUUAGGGGGUUCCCGCCCCUUAGUGCUGCAGCUAACGCAUUAAGCACUCCGCCUGGGGAGUACGGCCGCAAAGGCUGA